rnacentral:rRNA from 1 species
AGAGCGAACGCUGGCGGCAGGCUUAACACAUGCAAGUCGAGCGCCCCGCAAGGGGAGCGGCAGACGGGAGAGUAACACGUGGGAACGUACCUUUCGGUUCGGAACAACCCAGGGAAACUUGGGCUAAUACCGGAUACGCCCGCAAGGGGAAAGAUUUAUCGCCGGAAGAUCGGCCCGCGUCUGAUUAGCUAGUUGGUGAGGUAACGGCUCACCAAGGCGACGAUCAGUAGCUGGGUCUGAGAGGAUGAUCAGCCUCACUGGGACUGAGACACGGCCCAGACUCCUACGGGAGGCAGCAGUGGGGAAUUUUGCGCAAUGGGGAAACCCUGACGCAGCAACGCCGCGUGGAGGAUGAAGCCCCUUGGGGUGUAGACUCCUUUCGAUCGGGACGAUUAGUGACGGCACCGGAUGAAGAAGCACCGGCUAACUCUGUGCCAGCAGCCGC